GUGCCAGCAGCCGCGGUAAGACAGAGGGCGCGAGCGUUGUUCGGAAUUACUGGGCGUAAAGCGCGCGUAGGCGGAUCUGUAUGUCCGUAAGUGAAAUCCCGCCGCUCAACGGCGGGGCUGCUUGGGAAACGGCAGGUCUGGGGACCGGUAGAGGUCGGUAGAAUUCCCGGUGUAGCGGUGGAAUGCGUAGAGAUCGGGAAGAAUACCCGUGGCGAAGGCGGCCGACUGGGCCGGAUCCGACGCUGAUGCGCGAAAGCGUGGGGAGCAAACAGGAUUAGAUACCCUGGUAGUCC
rnacentral:rRNA from 1 species